rnacentral:rRNA from 1 species
GACGUAGGGCGCAAGCGUUGUCCGGAUUUAUUGGGCGUAAAGAGCUCGUAGGCGGUCUGUCGCGUCGUCCGUGAAAACCUGUGGCUUAACUACAGGCUUGCGGUCGAUACGGGCAGGCUAGAGUGCGGUAGGGGAGACUGGAAUUCCUGGUGUAGCGGUGAAAUGCGCAGAUAUCAGGAGGAACACCGGUGGCGAAGGCGGGUCUCUGGGCCGCUACUGACGCUGAGGAGCGAAAGCGUGGGGAGCGAACAGG